GGAAUCUUCCGCAAUGGGCGCAAGCCUGACGGAGCGACGCCGCUUGGAGGAGGAAGCCCUUCGGGGUGUAAACUCCUGAACCCGGGACGAAAUCCCUGAUGAGGGGGCUGACGGUACCGGGGUAAUAGCGCCGGCCAACUCCGUGCCAGCAGCCGCGGUAAUACGGAGGGCGCGAGCGUUACCCGGAUUUACUGGGCGUAAAGGGCGUGUAGGCGGCUUGGGGCGUCCCAUGUGAAAGGCCACGGCUCAACCGUGGAGGAGCGUGGGAUACGCUCAGGCUAGACGGUGGGAGAGGGUGGUGGAAUUCCCGGAGUAGCGGUGAAAUGCGCAGAUACCGGGAGGAACGCCGAUGGCGAAGGCAGCCACCUGGCUCACUUGUGACGCUGAGGCGCGAAAGCGUGGAGAGCAAACCGGAUUAGAUACCCGGGUAGUCCACGCCCUAAACGAUGCGCGCUAGGUCUCUGGGUUAUCUGGGGGCCGAAGCCAACGCUUAAGCGCCCCCUGGAGACGCAUGAGGG
rnacentral:rRNA from 1 species